rnacentral:rRNA from 1 species
AUUGAACGCUGGCGGCAUGCCUUACACAUGCAAGUCGAACGGCAGCACGGGUGCUUGCACCUGGUGGCGAGUGGCGAACGGGUGAGUAAUACAUCGGAACGUACCUUAUCGUGGGGGAUAACGCAGCGAAAGUUACGCUAAUACCGCAUAUUCUGUGAGCAGGAAAGCAGGGGAUCGCAAGACCUUGCGCUGAUUGAGCGGCCGAUGUCAGAUUAGCUAGUUGGUGAGGUAAAGGCUCACCAAGGCGACGAUCUGUAGCGGGUCUGAGAGGAUGAUCCGCCACACUGCAACUGAGACACGGUCCAGACUCCUACGGGAGGCAGCAGUGGGGAAUUUUGGACAAUGGGGGCAACCCUGAUCCAGCCAUGCCGCGUGAGUGAAGAAGGCCUUCGGGUUGUAAAGCUCUUUCGGCCGGGAAGAAAUCGCACGGGCUAAUACCCUGUGUGGAUGACGGUACCGGAAUAAGAAGCACCGGCUAACUACGUGCCAGCAGCCGCCGUAA